rnacentral:pre_miRNA from 1 species
AUACGGGGCAGUUAUAGUCAUGUUUUCUUUCGAUAACAUGGCAUAACUUCCCUGUAACC